GGUGGAGCGAUUUGUCUGGUUUAUUCCGAUAACGAGCGAGACUCUAGCCUGCUAAAUAGUGACUGGAUAUUUAUGUCUAGUCUACUUCUUAGAGGGAUAAGCGGUGUUUAGCCGCACGAGAUUGAGCGAUAACAGGUCUGUGAUGCCCUUAGAUGUCCGGGGCUGCACGCGCGCUACAAUGGAAGAAUCAGCUGGCCUAUCCAUUGCCGAAAGGUAUUGGUAAACCGUUGAAACUCUUCCGUGACCGGGAUAGGGAAUUGUAACUAUUUCCCUUGAACGAGGAAUUCCUAGUAAGUGUGAGUCAUCAGCUCGCGCUGAUUACGUCCCUGCCAUUUGUACACACCGCCCGUCGCUGUCCGGGACUGAGCUGUCUCGAGAGGACUGCGGACUGCUGUAUUGAGGCCUUCGGGUCGCGGUAUGGCGGGAAACAGUUCAAUCGCAAUGGCUUGAACCGGGUAAAAGUCGUAACAAGGUAUCUGUAGGUGAACCUGCAGAUGGAUCAUCG
rnacentral:rRNA from 1 species